UUCCCCCAACCACAUAGUAAGCCAUUCUAGGAGAUACCCGGAGCCAAGGUAAAGGGUGAGAAGGGCAGAACACGGCCCCUUUGUUUCUGAUCUCCAGCCACUCCAGUGCCUUGAAGGUUAUCUUCCUUCUUAUUUAGACUUUAUUUUUUAAACCAGAACCUUCUGAUGCUACACUUGACCUAGGCCGAGAAGCGAUGAAAAAAACACAAACCCUUCCCGUCUGUCUUGGACUCAACGCGAGAGCUUGGCUCCAAGGCAGAAGAGCGGGAAGGGCUAAGGAAGCAAUGGAGGUGGACUGGUUGGUGUGCCCGGGGUGGCACAGCUAGGAAGUGUCAGAGGUGGGUUUUGAAUCCAGGACCUCCCCUCUCCAGGCCUGACGGAAGGAGAUCUUCUUGUCUCAACAAGGAAGGAGAAGAGGGAGAGAAAGACUUGUAGAAUGGAGGUGGGGGAAGAAGAGGAAAUAUUGAGAGAGAAAAAAGAAGCUGAAGAUGGUUAUCCAUUUGAGGCCGAGAUGCUCUAUGGCUCCCUGCUACAGCAAGGAAAAAGAGAAGAGGAACAAGGAACCUGCAACCUUCUCACUCGUGAGGGACUGGCUGGAAACUUUCCCCUCUUGUGUACUCUUCAAAGCCUCUGUGAGCCCCUUAACCAGAGUCUACACUUGUCUGGUCAGAGGCAACCAGAUCUGCCUGCAGCUGCUUGAUGAGAAAAGAAGCCCUCCCAGAGACCUGGGGAAGCAGCUGGAGAGAGAUGCUUGCCAGCUUGGGGGUGUAAAUAUUUAUAAACCAUGGUUGGUGGGAAGAGAGAGGGCAGAAGAAGGAAUCAGAGGAGGUUGGACUUGGCGAAUUCGAGUUGAGAAACAUGGCACCCCAGAUCCCUGAUCUGAUUCAGUAGUGGAGAAGGAGUAGAUCACUGGAAAGUAGUAGGAGAGAGACAAUGAGAUGGCUCAGUGGAGAGUAAGACAGGCCUGGAGAGUCAGAUCCCUAGGUUCAACCGUUGAACCCUAGGCAAGUCACUUAAACCCCAUUGCCUGGACUUAUUUAUCACUCUUCUGCCUUGGAACCAAUAAUUGGUUGAUAAUAAUUGCGUUGAUUCUAAGAUAGAAGAAGGUAAGGGUUUAAAGAAAAACAAAGGAGAGAAGAGAAGAGAAGAGAAGAGAAGAGAAGAGAAGAGAAGAGAAGAGAAGAGAAGAGAAGAGAAGAGAAGAGAAGAGAAGAGAAGAGAAGAGAAGAGAAGAGAAGAGAAGAGAAGGAGAAGGAGAAGGAGAAGGAGAAGAGAAAGAGAAGAGAAAGAGAAAAGGACUACGUACUCCUGGGCUGGGUAAUAAUAAUUAUUAAUAAGAAUAAUAAAGCACUUUAUAAAUAACAGUUGUCAGGGAAGUAGCUGGAUGGCUCAGUGGAUUGAGAACCAGGCCUAGAGACAGGAAGUCCUAGGUUCAAAUCUGGCCUCAGACACUUCCCAGCUGUGUGACCCUGGGCAAGUCACUCAACCCCCAUUGCCUAGCUCUCACCUCUCUUCUGCUUUGGAAAAGACUAGAGGAAAUAAUUAACAAUUUUAGCAAAGUUGCAGGGUUUAAUAUAAACCCACAUAAAUCAUCAGCAUUUCUAUAUAUUUCCAACAAAACUCAGCAGCAGGAGUUAGAAAGAGAAACUCCAUUUAAAAUCACUCUAGACAAUAUAACAUAUUUAGGAAUCUAUCUGCCAAGACCUCUCUUCUGCCUUGGAACCAAUACACAGUAUUGAUUCUAAGAGAGAAGAUAAAAGUUUAAAAAUAAUAAUAAUGAAUGAAUGAAUAAGCAGCAGUUGUCAGGUUUGCAAAGCACUUAAAAAAUAUAUCAUUCACAACAACUUUCUGAGGUAGGUAUUAAGGGUAUUACUAUCCCUAUUUAAAGAUGAGAAAACUGGCUAGUAUUAUACCCAUUUCAUAGAUGAGGCCACUAGAUCGUAUUAUUCCUAUUUGACAGAUGGAGAAUCUGGAUAGCAUUAUCUCUACUGUGUAUACAAAGCAACUGGAGAGUGCCUGUUGUACAAAUAAGGAAACUUUUCUAUUAUCCCCAUUUUACAGUUGAGGGAAUUGACUUUUAUUAUCACACAUGAAGAAAUUAAAGAGGUCCCAUAGCUAAUUGUAUCAGGAAGGGAUUCAAACCCAGGUCUUUGUGACUCCAAGACUGUUGCUCUCAAUGACAUGAUGCUUCCUCUGUUCCAGACCUUUACUUAGAAAUUUAGAGGCAAAUACCUGCCUUAGGUUCUUCUUCCCUUUGUCUAAUGCUACUCUACACUAUAAGUUUCCUGAAGGCAAUAAGAAUGCCUCUCAUCAAAGCUCUUACCAUGGCUAAUUGAGGGCCAUGUAUCCUGCAGACAUAGUCUCUUACCAAUCUUGCUAAAGGCACAGCUAGCAAAGCUCAAGGUUAAAAAGCAGGGAUUUCUUCUAACCCCUCAAUGGCACCAUUGAUAAGAGUGCUUUUACGGUGCUUCCAGGCUUCUGGGAUAUCCUAACAUGGAAAGUGCCCAUACCCUUCAUGACAUUCUGGAAGCCCCUUCAGAACAGAAUCCAAGCCUAUCGGCAGGAUAGAGCUUAAAAGGCUGAUCAAUUUCCAGAGUGAGGCAAUGAUCACUUUCUUUCUAUGACCCUAAUAAGACACAUAAGCUGGGAUCCAUGACAGAAGGGAGUUCUAGGAAUGAAGGUAGGUUCCCUGAAGCCGGCUCUAAUUCUGCCUCCUGAUAAGCUACUGACAGCAGCAAGGAUUCUGUGGCAUUUCUCAGCAGCUAGAAGACAAAGAAAGCCAAAGAACUAAUUUCUGCAGCUUUUGUGGUAGGCAGAAGCUACAAACAGAGUUAACACCUGCGAGGCUUCUGUGUCCCUGAACAACCAGCACCCCAGUGGAUGAUGUUCUCCAAACGGAACUGGAACAAAAGUGAAGUCACCACAAUCAGCAAAUCCAGGAUAUUGUCCAUCCAGGUCAGGCCUUGAGUGAUGCAAAGCAUGGGCUAAUAUUUCUAGGUAUUACCUAGGUUUAUCAACCCUACCUUCUUCUGAGGGACCUCUGCUAUUAUUCUCUUUAGUUUAUGAAAGAGGAGGCAGCUCAUGGGAGGAGGAAGUCACCUCCCCACCCCCCACCCCCAAGGUGACCUGGAUCUCAGAGAACCUCUGGUUGAUUGACUUACUCGCUUGCUGCUCUAGGCUCUGCUUGCCUGCUGCCUGCCCACUCUUUGCCAGCACAGCUUUAACAGAUGAACAUGAAUAAAGGCCCAUGUGGCCUUAGGAAAGCUUUGGGGGAAAGAACUGAAUCCCAAGAAAGACCAGUACAGGAAACAGGGUGGGAGAGGAAAGGAGGGAAACUCAAAGCAACAGACAGAAGGAACCAUCCAAGAGCCCAGAUGCAAAGUGAAGGAGGCCAAAAACAAAGGAAAAUGAUGCAUAUGUGUAUUGGGGGUGGGAAGGAGAGGGAGAGAGGGGACAGCAGGGAGAGGUUUUAAAUAUUCUGAGAAGAAAGAAAAGUUUAGAACUAAAUAGUCCAAAAAGGGAAAGUGAACCAGGAGAGGAAAGAACUCAAAACAAUUCCCUACCACUCCCUUGAGAAAAGCUAAAAAUAAAAUAAUAAAUGUUAUGAACAA